rnacentral:rRNA from 1 species
AUUGAACGCUAGCGGGAUGCCUUACACAUGCAAGUCGAACGGAGUGGCGAACGGGUGAGUAAUGUAUCGGAACGUGCCCAGUAGCGGGGGAUAACUACGCGAAAGCGUGGCUAAUACCGCAUACUAUUGGAGCGGCCGCUAUCGGAUUAGCUAGUUGGUGGGGUACCGGCACCCCAAGGCGACGAUCCGUAGCUGGUUUGCGAGGACGACCAGCCACACUGGCACUGAGACACGGCCCAGACUCCUACGCUAGGCAGCAGUGGGGAAUUUUGGACAAUGGGGGAAUCCCGGAUCCAGCCAUCCCGCGUGUGCGAUGAAGGCCUUCGGGUGGUAAAGCACUUUUGGCAGGAGAGCGGUACCUGAAGAAUAAGCACCGGCUAACUACGUGCCAGCAGCCGCGGUAAUAC